rnacentral:rRNA from 1 species
GAUGAACGCUAGCUACAGGCUUAACACAUGCAAGUCGCGGGGCAGCAUGGGGGUUGCUUGCCAUCCCCGAUGGCGACCGGCGCACGGGUGAGUAACGCGUAUCCAACCUGCCCUUCACCACGGGAUAACCCGGCGAAAGUCGGACUAAUACCGUAUGUUGUCCAUUGACGGCAUCCGAUUUGGACGAAAGGCUUGGCGGUGAGGGAUGGGGAUGCGUCCGAUUAGCCAGACGGCGGGGUAACGGCCCACCGUGGCUACGAUCGGGAGGGGUUCUGAGAGGAAGGUCCCCCACACUGGAACUGAGACACGGUCCAGACUCCUACGGGAGGCAGCAGUGAGGAAUAGUGGUCAAGGGGCGUAAGCCUGAACCAGCCAAGUAGCGUGCAGGAUGACGGCCCUAUGGGUUGUAAACUGCUUUUAUGCGGGGAUAAAGUGGCCCACGUGUGGGCUUUUGCAGGUACCGCAUGAAUAAGGACCGGCUAAUUCCGUG